CACCGGCGGCUCGAGUGGUGGCCACUUUUAUUGGGUCUAAAGCGUCCGUAGCCGGCUUGGCAAGUCCCCUGGGAAAUCUGGCGGCUUAACCGUCAGGCUGCCAGGGGAUACUGGUCGGCUUGGGACCGGGAGAGGUGAGAGGUACCUCGGGGGUAGGGGUGAAAUCUUGUAAUCCUCGAGGGACCACCAGUGGCGAAGGCGUCUCACCAGAACGGAUCCGACGGCAAGGGACGAAAGCUAGGGGCACGAACCGG
rnacentral:rRNA from 1 species